rnacentral:rRNA from 1 species
UACGGGGGGAGCAAACGUUGUUCGGAAUUACUGGGCGUAAAGGGCGCGUAGGCGGCCUUCUAAGUCGAACGUGAAAUCCCCGGGCUCAACCCGGGAACUGCGUCCGAUACUGGAAGGCUUGAAUCCGGGAGAGGGAUGUGGAAUUCCAGGUGUAGCGGUGAAAUGCGUAGAUAUCUGGAGGAACACCGGUGGCGAAGGCGACAUCCUGGACCGGUAUUGACGCUGAGGCGCGAAAGCGUGGGGAGCAAACGGG